rnacentral:tRNA from 1 species
GGGGUUAUAGCUCAGUUGGUAGAGUGUUUUCCUCACAUGCACAAGGCCCUGGGUUCAAUCCCCAGUACCACCC